rnacentral:rRNA from 1 species
UCAGGCCUAACACAUGCAAGUCGAGCGGAAACGAGCUAUCUGAACCUUCGGGGAACGAUAACGGCGUCGAGCGGCGGACGGGUGAGUAAUGCCUAGGAAAUUGCCCUGAUGUGGGGGAUAACCAUUGGAAACGAUGGCAAUACCGCAUGAUGCCUACGGGCCAAAGAGGGGGACCUUCGGGCCUCUCGCGUCAGGAUAUGCCUAGGUGGGAUUAGCUAGUUGGUGAGGUAAGGGCUCACCAAGGCGACGAUCCCUAGCUGGUCUGAGAGGAUGAUCAGCCACACUGGAACUGAGACACGGUCCAGACUCCUACGGGAGGCAGCAGUGGGGAAUAUUGCACAAUGGGCGCAAGCCUGAUGCAGCCAUGCCGCGUGUGUGAAGAAGGCCUUCGGGUUGUAAAGCACUUUCAGUCGUGAGGAAGGUAGUGUAGUUAAUAGCUGCAUUAUUUGACGUUAGCGACAGAAGAAGCACCGGCUAACUCCGUGCCAGCAGCCGCGGUAAUACGGAGGGUGCGAGCGUUAAUCGGAAUUACUGGGCGUAAAGCGCAUGCAGGUGGUUUGUUAAGUCAGAUGUGAAAGCCCGGGGCUCAACCUCGGAAUAGCAUUUGAAACUGGCAGACUAGAGUACUGUAGAGGGGGGUAGAAUUUCAC